GAACUGGGAAGGUGGGAAGCAAUCUAGCAGGGGCCUCUGGGCUUGCGGAGAGUCCCUGUUUUCCCUUUUUUCUUUUUCACCCAAUAAAACCUUGCUUUUCUCACCCCUCAAACCAUCUGUGAACCCAGACUUUCUAGGCCAUGGAACAAGGACCCCAUCUUUAUCUGAACUAAGGAAAAGUCCUGCACCAUUUUGGCGCGCAACGUGGGGGUUCGAGAAGCGGACAGACCAGAAAGCAGCAGCUUCCCGCCGCCUGCCGCCCUCACCUCUGUGCCAGGACCUGGACGC
rnacentral:lncRNA from 1 species